GACAGAGGGGGCAAGCGUUGCUCGGAAUUACUGGGCGUAAAGGGCGCGUAGGCGGAAUGGCAAGUCGGUCGUGAAAUCCUUCGGCUCAACCGAAGAACGUCGAUCGAAACUGCCGUUCUUGAGGAUUGCAGAGGAGACUGGAAUUCCCGGUGUAGCGGUGAAAUGCGUAGAUAUCUGGAGGAACACCGGUGGCGAAGGCGGCAUCCUGGACCGGCAUUGACGCUGAGGAGCGAAAGCCAGGGGAGCAAACGGG
rnacentral:rRNA from 1 species